AGGUAACGGCUCACCAAGGCAACGAUGCGUAGCCGACCUGAGAGGGUGAUCGGCCACACUGGGACUGAGACACGGCCCAGACUCCUACGGGAGGCAGCAGUAGGGAAUCUUCCGCAAUGGACGAAAGUCUGACGGAGCAACGCCGCGUGAGUGAUGAAGGCUUUCGGGUCGUAAAACUCUGUUGUUAGGGAAGAACAAGUGCUAGUUGAAUAAGCUGGCACCUUGACGGUACCUAACCAGAAAGCCACGGCUAACUACGUGCCAGCAGCCGCGGUAAUACGUAGGUGGCAAGCGUUAUCCGGAAUUAUUGGGCGUAAAGCGCGCGCAGGUGGUUUCUUAAGUCUGAUGUGAAAGCCCACGGCUCAACCGUGGAGGGUCAUUGGAAACUGGGAGACUUGAGUGCAGAAGAGGAAAGUGGAAUUCCAUGUGUAGCGGUGAAAUGCGUAGAGAUAUGGAGGAACACCAGUGGCGAAGGCGACUUUCUGGUCUGUAACUGACACUGAGGCGCGAAAGCGUGGGGAGCAAACGAGGAUUAGAUACCCUGGUAGUCCACGCCGUAAACGAUG
rnacentral:rRNA from 1 species